AGAGAGAGAGAGAGAGAGAGAGAGAGAGCUCCUCAGCUGGUCCUGCCAAGGACAGCUCUGUGUGGUGGUGGUGUUGAGCACAGGCUGGGGGCUCCGUGCUGAGCUGUGGUGGUGUUGAGCACAGGCUGGGGGCUCCGUGCUGAGCUGGGGGAAUGCAGCGCUGCAGUGCUCCGCCUCACAAUCAGUAUAGCGGUCAAACCGACCUUCUGGGACCAACCUCAUACAGUCCACCCACACGCACACACACACACACACACACACACACACACACACAG